rnacentral:rRNA from 1 species
UACGGAGGAUCCGAGCGUUAUCCGGAUUUAUUGGGUUUAAAGGGUGCGUAGGCGGGUUAUUAAGUCAGUGGUGAAAGCCUUCAGCUUAACUGAAGAAUUGCCAUUGAUACUGAUGAUCUUGAGUAUGAUUGAGGUGGGCGGAAUGUGUCAUGUAGCGGUGAAAUGCUUAGAUAUGACACAGAACACCGAUUGCGAAGGCAGCUCACUAAGUCAUAACUGACGCUGAUGCACGAAAGCGUGGGGAGCAAACAGG